ACGGGGGGUGCAAGCGUUACUCGGAAUCACUGGGCGUAAAGAGCAUGUAGGCUGGUUUGUAAGUUGGAAGUGAAAUCCUAUGGCUUAACCAUAGAACUGCUUCCAAAACUGCAGACCUAGAAUAUGGGAGAGGUAGAUGGAAUUUCUGGUGUAGGGGUAAAAUCCGUAGAGAUCAGAAGGAAUACCGAUUGCGAAGGCGAUCUACUGGAACAUUAUUGACGCUGAGAUGCGAAAGCGUGGGGAGCAAACAGG
rnacentral:rRNA from 1 species